UGGUCAAGUUAUUAAGGGUGCAGGGCGGAUGCCUUGGCACUAGGAGCCGUUGAAGGACGUGAUAAGCUGCGAUAAGCUUCGGGGAGUUGCACGUAAACUUUGAUCCGAAGAUUUCCGAAUGAGGAAACUCACUUAGAGUAAUGUCUAAGUAUCAUUAAGUGAAUACAUAGCUUAAUGAGGGGAACUCAGGGAACUGAAACAUCUAAGUACCUGAAGGAAGAGAAAGAAAUUCGAUUCCGUAAGUAGCGGCGGGCGAACGCGGAUUAGCCCAAACCAAUAAAGUUUUCUUUAUUGGGGUUGCGGACAUAUCAUAACGAAGAGGUAUCGUAAUUGAAGAGGUUUGGAAAGACCCACCACAGAAGGUAAUAGUCCUGUAUGU
rnacentral:rRNA from 1 species